rnacentral:lncRNA from 1 species
AUGAAGGGAUGGAAAUUAUUUUAAAUUGAAAACUCCUGAACAGUCAGCAGCCGCAGAAAGAAACUACCUCCACUUAAGCAGCUGCCCCAGGAAGCAGAGCUGCUUUGACCCCUCUGGGGGCAUAUCCUGCUUGGAGGAAGACCCAGUUCGGAUCAGCUGCCCAUUAGCGUCAAGACCGAAAGGACCUUCCACACUCCCCGUGAAGCCCUGAGCCCCUGUUUUUAUUGUGUUUGCUGGUAUAUAAACCCUUUCCUCAUUACUGUGUCCUCACGUGUGUGUGCAUGAGCACAGCCGAUGGACCUUGCUCUCCCUCCUGUCCACCUGUCUGCUGUCCGUUCACUUGCAGACCCCAGAUAUUUCAAGCUAGAACUGCUGCUGUCAGCCUGCUCACCUGCACCAUGGUUCCCACCAGCACUCCUGUUACAAGUGACAGAUGAAAACUCACGCGGAAGACGACCUCAGAGCCAACAUUCCUGGAAGGAGGAGGACUUGUCCCCUGAUGAGCACAUGGGACAAUCAUCCAAGUAGAAUGAAACCAGCUGGGAGAAGCCACCACACAUCCCCUUCAGAAACAGCAACUCUCCCACGCCUGACUGACUUCC